CGGUAUAAAAGUUUAACGCAUUGUGUUCAUCUGCAUUCAGAUGAUUACGCCUUAAUUCGAUGUAAAUGAGCGCGUCCCACGCUAAUGAAUAAAAUUAAAGCGCGAAAACGUCAGAUUGAAAGCGAAAUUCCUUCUCACGUACCAGUAGGUACCCAUUCAGAUGACAUUGACGAACAAAAUAAUAACAGUAGCAUCGGUGUUCACCUAUAAUCAUUGUCCUCGACAGUGAGUAACGAUCUUGAACGAACGUUGGUACCUAAUCAGUUUAACGUUUCAUAUUGUUCCAUUUGUUAUUGGAGAAGGAUCUGUUACUUACUUAAGUGAAAGUGAGUACGAACCAGAGGAUUACUCAUCAUCAGAGCCAUCAGAUUCAGAAACGCUCAAUGAAGACUAUCCUUUCAAUGCUAUUAGUUUACUGCCAAACCGAAGAGGUGCUCCUAAAAUGUUCAAGGCCAUCGAGCUUUCGUCUCUGUAUCAGGGCCCACUUGAAAAGAAGAAAAAUAUGGAAGAACUUUUUCAAUUUAUUCCUCCGAUUCAUCAAAAUUACUUCAAGGAUGUAAUUGGAAAUUGUGACGUUGAAGAUCCUGGGCCCCUUGAAGAAUUGGAAGAAGAAGAUGAUGACAGUUAGUUUCCCCAUUGUUUUGGAAUAUACUCGUGUUUUUAUUUUUCAUAUAAAUUAUGUUUUAUUUCCUCUUUUGGUAAUAAAUUUUUAAAAACGUU